UCGGACGUGGUGUAUGGUGCAUGGCCCUAGACUCUGGUGAAUUAUUUGGGUGUUUACAUAAAGGGCGGGACGGGGUUCGAUUCCCCGCGUUCGAA